rnacentral:rRNA from 1 species
GACGAACCGUGCGAGCGUUGUUCGGAAUCACUGGGCUUAAAGGGCGCGUAGGCGGGCCGGCCAGUCUGUGGUGAAAUCCCCCGGCUCAACCGGGGAAUUGCCGUGGAUACUGCCGGCCUCGAGGAGGGUAGGGGCACCUGGAACUAGCGGUGGAGCGGUGAAAUGCGUUGAUAUCGCUAGGAACUCCGGUGGCGAAGGCGAGGUGCUGGACCCUUUCUGACGCUGAGGCGCGAAAGCCAGGGGAGCAAACGGG